AACGAACGCUGGCGGCAUGCCUAACACAUGCAAGUCGAACGAUCCCUUCGGGGAUAGUGGCGCACGGGUGCGUAACGCGUGGGAACCUGCCCUUAGGUUCGGAAUAACUCAGAGAAAUUUGAGCUAAUACCGGAUAAUGUCUUCGGACCAAAGAUUUAUCGCCUUUGGAUGGGCCCGCGUUGGAUUAGCUAGUUGGUGGGGUAAAGGCCGACCAAGGCGACGAUCCAUAGCUGGUCUGAGAGGAUGAUCAGCCACACUGGAACUGAGACACGGUCCAGACUCCUACGGGAGGGAGCAGUGGGGAAUAUUCGACAAUGGGCGCAAGCCUGAUCGAGCCAUACCGCGUGGGUGAAGAAGGCCUUCGGGUUGUAAAGCACUUUUGUUGGGAAAGAAAAGAAGCAGGUUAAUACCCCGCUGUUCUGACGGUACCCAAAGAAUAAGCACCGGCUAACUUCGUG
rnacentral:rRNA from 1 species